CUGGCCAGAAGGAGGCUGAAAGUUAGAAAUUGCUAUUCUUUUAGGAUCGGUUGGGUGGGUUGGGGGGCAAGGGUGUCUAUUUGCAGUAAAGAUAUUUUGAGAAGAAGAAAAUUGUUUUAUAUAAGAGGAAAGCCAUGACCACCUUUCUACCUCAGAUCCAUCUUCAUCCAUCGCGUUGGAAAUAGCUUUAUGCCGCUACAGUUUGAAAAAUCUAGAGCUUCUAUCAGAUCACAUCUUACCCAGUAAAAAUAUCUAUUUAAAGAAAAAAAAGUCCCUGAACUCUGAACUGAAAGUUGUAGAUUUGGUGUCUUCCUUGUCC
rnacentral:lncRNA from 1 species